rnacentral:rRNA from 1 species
UACGGAGGGGGCAAGCGUUGUUCGGAAUUACUGGGCGUAAAGGGCGCGCAGGCGGCUGCUCAAGUCAGGCGUGAAAGGCCUGGGCUCAACCCGGGAAUUGCGCUUGAGACUGGGCUGGCUUGAGUGCGGGAGAGGAUGGUGGAAUUCCCAGUGUAGAGGUGAAAUUCGUAGAUAUUGGGAAGAACACCGGUGGCGAAGGCGGCUCACUGGCCCGGUACUGACGCUGAGGUGCGAAAGCGUGGGGAGCAAACAGGG